ACCACCUGAGGAGGGGGUUGUUGUGGGGCACAUCAGUAUUUAUAGACCUAACAGCGAAUGUCCCUCUUUUCUCAUCCCAGGCUUACAGAAUUUUUUGGGUUGAAGAAAAAAAAAAAAAAAGAGAAUAAAGGUAUCAAGUGCAGAAUUAAAAAAAUAAAAUAAAAAUCCAGAUUGUUUUGGCCACCCUGGCUGAGAAGCAUGCCUUUUCUUCCAUUAAAAGCCCAAAUUGAAAUGCCAUAUGUGAGCCAUCAGCAUAAUUCAAAUGUGUGAAAAAUAACCAGCCUCUUCUUUUAUUUCCCUUCCCCAACCUCCCAUCUCAUCUCUAUUUUUCUUCUGUGGCUCAGCCCUGUGUUAAGUAAGCCCUGAGAGGUGAUGGGGAACAUCUUGGGCCACCUGUUCUCAGCAGCCUCAGGAAGAAGGGCUGUACCGGGGGGUAGGCUCCUGGGGGAGGCUCAGCCCUUUGUAAUUAGGACAAUCAAUUAUUGACUCAUACAAAAGCCUGAGAGAGAAAAAGAAAGGUUUUUGCAGCUUGCUCAGUAAUGCAUUCAGUUGCAGGAGGCAGUCAUUUAUUUAUUUAUUUAUUAUUUUUAGUUUUUGGAUUUUUUUUUUUUUGGCCCUUGAUGCUUCAAGAAUAAGCACUAUGAAAUCCUUCCCUGUCUGGGAAGCUGGAAACCAGAUCUGCUCCUCACCUAGCUUCAACAUGGGAAACAUCCGUGGAUGCACUCAUGGCACUUGAGCAAAAAGGAUCUGUACACGGAGCCUGAUGCUUGGAGAACUCCCUGUUCUUGAAGGGUGUUGGAAACCGUGCCCGAAUUCCUUGUGUCUCUGAAGAUUUCAACCAUGCAUGUCAACACUGGGAUCUGAAAGCAGCUGCACUGGAGAAAUGUUCCCAGAUAAAAAUGACUCAUUAGCAGGGCCUGGGCUGAAGCCAUGAUUAUUUUGAAUAGAGUGCCACUUGUCCUACCUCCAGCAGCCGGUCUGUUCCAGAGAGGCUACACAGGAUGGAUGACCUUUGUUCAUUAACACAUGGGCAUCCCUCCCCAGUAGUAGCUUUCACAUGCUGAAAUUACUCACUUGACAUCCAAAUAUUAAUGGAAAAUGUCUUUUUAAUACUGAAAGCUAUUCCACUCUCGCAUUGAUGUCCAAACCAUAGCCUUUUGGAUGUGCUUCUGACAUGCUGCUGCUUUCUCCGAAGGAACUAUCUCCUGCAAAUUGUACGCAGUUAAUAGGAAAGGAAUGCCUAUCUCAAGCACUUAGAUCAUGAAGGUGCUUCAUACAAAACUGCAAAUUUUAACACCAAAUAAACUAGAAUUUCCUCUUGCUUUUUGGUAUAGA
rnacentral:lncRNA from 1 species